GGGCCAGUAGCAUAGUGGUAUUGCGCCUCAUUCGCAUUGAGGAGGUCGGCGGUUCGAUUCCGCUCUGGUCCA
rfam:Microgenomates (Daviesbacteria) bacterium GW2011_GWA1_42_6 TV33_C0018, whole genome shotgun sequence.